rnacentral:rRNA from 1 species
GUGAGGGGAGUGAAAUAGAUCCUGAAACCGCAUGCAUACAAGCAGUGGGAGCACCUUCGUGGUGUGACUGCGUACCUUUUGUAUAAUGGGUCAGCGACUUAUAUUCAGUAGCGAGGUUAACCGUAUAGGGGAGCCGUAGAGAAAUCGAGUCUUAAUAGGGCGUUUAGUUGCUGGGUAUAGACCCGAAACCAGGCGAUCUAUCCAUGAGCAGGUUGAAGGUUGGGUAACACUAACUGGAGGACCGAACCCACUGUCGUUGAAAAGCCAGGGGAUGACUUGUGGAUAGGGGUGAAAGGCUAAUCAAGCCUGGUGAUAGCUGGUUCUCCCCGAAAGCUAUUUAGGUAGCGCCUCGGACGAAUACCAUAGGGGGUAGAGCACUGUUUCGGCUAGGGGGUCAUCCCGACUUACCAAACCGAUGCAAACUCCGAAUACCUAUGAGUACUAUCCGGGAGACAGACUGCGGGUGCUAACGUCCGUAGUCAAGAGGAAAACAAUCCAGACCGCCAGCUAAGGCCCCAAAAUCAUAGUUAAGUGGGAAACGAUGUGGGAAGGCAUAGACAGCUAGGAGGUUGGCUUAGAAGCAGCCACCCUUUAAAGAAAGCGUAAUAGCUCACUAGUCGAGUCGGCCUGCGCGGAAGAUGUAACGGGGCUAAAACUAUGUGCCGAAGCUGCGGAUGUAUACUUUGUAUACGUGGUAGGGGAGCGUUCUGUAAGCCGAUGAAGGUGUGUUGAGAAGCAUGCUGGAGGUAUCAGAAGUGCGAAUGCUGACGUGAGUAACGACAAAACGGGUGAAAAACCCGUUCGCCGAAAGACCAAGGGUUCCAGUCCAACGUUAAUCGGGGCUGGGUGAGUCGACCCCUAAGGCGAGGCCGAAAGGCGUAGUCGAUGGGAAAAUGGUUAAUAUUCCAUUACUUCUGUGUAAUGCGAUGAGAGGACGGAGAAGGCUAAAUCAGCCUGGCGUUGGUUGUCCAGGUGAAAGGAUGUAGGCAUGUAUCUUAGGCAAAUCCGGGGUACUCUAUGCUGAGAUCUGAUAGCAAGCUGUACUUGUACAGCGAAGUGGUUGAUGCCAUGCUUCCAGGAAAAGUCUCUAAGCUUCAGUUACACAGGAAUCGUACCCGAAACCGACACAGGUGGUCAGGUCGAGUAGACCAAGGCGCUUGAGAGAACUCUGCUGAAGGAACUAGGCAAAAUGGUACCGUAACUUCGGGAGAAGGUACGCUGUUGUUGGUGAUGGAACUCGCUUCCUGAGCUGACGACAGCCGCAGAAACCAGGCCGCUGCAACUGUUUAUUAAAAACAUAGCACUCUGCAAACACGAAAGUGGACGUAUAGGGUGUGAUGCCUGCCCGGUGCUGGAAGGUUAAUUGAUGGGGUUAGCGUAAGCGAAGCUCUUGAUCGAAGCCCCAGUAAACGGCGGCCG